CCUACGGGUGGCAGCAGUGAGGAAUAUUGGUCAAUGGGCGGAAGCCUGAACCAGCCAAGUAGCGUGCAGGAUGACGGCCCUACGGGUUGUAAACUGCUGUUAUACGGGAAUAACGCGCCGUACGUGUAGGGCUUUGCAUGUACCGUAUGAAUAAGGACCGGCUAAUUCCGUGCCAGCAGCCGCGGUAAUACGGAAGGUCCGGGCGUUAUCCGGAUUUAUUGGGUUGAAAGGGAGCGUAGGCGGCAUGUCAAGCGUGCUGUGACAUGUCCGGGCUCAACCCGGGCCUGGCAGCGCGAACGGGCGUGCUUGAGUCCGCGCAAAGCAGGCGGAAUUCGUCGUGUAGCGGUGACAUGCUUCGAUAUGAC
rnacentral:rRNA from 1 species